rnacentral:tRNA from 1 species
UGCAGGAUGGUGGAGGUAGUUCCAUGUCGGGCUCAUAACCCGAAGACCCCAGUGCGACUCUGGGUCCUGCCAC